rnacentral:rRNA from 1 species
GACGAACGCUGGCGGCGUGCUUAACACAUGCAAGUCGAACGGAAAGGCCCUGCUUUUGUGGGGUGCUCGAGUGGCGAACGGGUGAGUAACACGUGAGUAACCUGCCCUUGACUUUGGGAUAACUUCAGGAAACUGGGGCUAAUACCGGAUAGGAGCUCCUGCUGCAUGGUGGGGGUUGGAAAGUUUCGGCGGUUGGGGAUGGACUCGCGGCUUAUCAGCUUGUUGGUGGGGUAGUGGCUUACCAAGGCUUUGACGGGUAGCCGGCCUGAGAGGGUGACCGGCCACAAGGGGACUAAGAGACGGACCAGACGCCUACGGGAGGCAGCAGUGGGGAAUAUUGCACAAUGGGCGGAAGCCUGAUGCAGCAACGCCGCGUGCGGGAUGACGGCCUUCGGGUUGUAAACCGCUUUCGCCUGUGACGAAGCGUGAGUGACGGUAAUGGGUAAAGAAGCACCGGCUAACUACGUG